UACGAAGGGGGCUAGCGUUGCUCGGAAUCACUGGGCGUAAAGCGCACGUAGGCGGCUUUUUAAGUCAGGGGUGAAAUCCUGGAGCUCAACUCCAGAACUGCCUUUGAUACUGGCGAUCUCGAGUCCGGGAGAGGUGAGUGGAACUGCGAGUGUAGAGGUGAAAUUCGUGGAUAUUCGCAAGAACACCAGUGGCGAAGGCGGCUCACUGGCCCGGUACUGACGCUGAGGUGCGAAAGCGUGGGGAGCAAACAGG
rnacentral:rRNA from 1 species